AAAAUAAUCCUACCCUUUGUGAAUUUUGUUUGUUUGAAUAAUUUUUUUUUUUAAAAAAUUAUUGGAGUCUUUCCCUUUAGAGUUUGCUUUUGAGUUUGUAAAAGAAUUCGAAAACAUCUAAAGGGGAUGGUCAAUAAUUUUUUUUGAAAAAAGACAUUUUUUAAAAUUAAACUUUUUGUAUUCAUUUGUCUAAAAAUUAUUUUUAUAAUAUAAAAACAACUUUUGACGAUGGAUCUCUUGGUUCUCGCAACGAUGAAGAACGCAGCAAAAUGCGAUAAGUAGUGUGAAUUGCAGAAUACGUGAAUCAUCGAAUCUUUGAACGCAUAUUGCACUUUUUUAGUUUACUAAAAAAGUAUGUCUGUUUGAGUAUCAGUAAAAUAUUCCAUAAAAACCAUUGUAUUUUUAUGGUUAUGAGUGUUUUACAACGAUACAAGUUGUUUCACUUUAAAUUUUUUUUAAUAUUGAAAUUUUUCUAAUUUUAAUAAUUAAAAUUGGAUAAAAUUUUCCCGUCAAAAGGAAUAACCUAAACAAUUUUAAACGAUUAAUUUUAGCAAAAUUUUCGUAAAAAAGGAAAAUUUUUAUUAAAAUAACUUGAUCUCAAAUCAGAUAAGAGUACCCGCUGAACUUAAGCGUAUCAAUAAGCGGAGGAAAAGAAACUAACAAGGAUUCCCUUAGUAACGGCGAGUGAAGCGGGAAGAGCUCAAAUUUGAAAUCUUCAAGGUUUUACCUUGACGAAUUGUAGUUUAAAGAAGUGUUUUCUGCUGAAGUUUUGGUAAAAGUUCUUUGGAAUAGGACAUCAUAGAGGGUGAGAAUCCCGUAUUUGACCAUUAUUUUCAGCUUUGUGAUACACUUUCAAAGAGUCGGAUUGUUUGGGAAUGCAGUCCAAAAUGGGUGGUAAAUUUCAUCUAAAGCUAAAUAUUGGCGAGAGACCGAUAGCGAACAAGUACCGUGAGGGAAAGAUGAAAAGAACUUUGAAAAGAGAGUUAAACAGUACGUGAAAUUGUCAUAAGGGAAGCGUUUGACACCAGUGUUGUUUUCUCGAAAAUCAGUUAAAAAUGGCUCGAUUUUGUAUUGCUGAGACCUUAAAAGCUCACUGUACAUUUUUCGUGUCUUUUUUAAUGCGCUUUUCGUUUAACAAGUCAACAUCAGUUUCUUUUGUUGUAAAAGGGUCAUUGGAAGGUGGCUUUCUUUUCGGAGAAAGUGUUUAUAGCCUUUGGCCUCUGCAAUCGGAGAGACUGAGGUCUGCAGCGUAGACUCUUCGGGGUUAGAUACAUUUGUGCUAAGUUAUAGCUUUUUAUAGACAACUUGUUGACUAUAAUUAGUCUUGUAGCUUACUCGCUUAUGCUAUUU
rnacentral:misc_RNA from 1 species